UGUGUGUGUGUGUGUGUGUGUCAGGGGGAGGAUGCAGCGUCAGACGGAGCAGACGCCGGCUCCAGUCCAAAGCAACACAAUGCAGAAGAGGAACAGAAAGCACAGAUCUCCACAGAUGUUUUGGAGAAGGAUGUCAGUGCAGCAGAUGACAGCAGGACAUUGAUGCCACCCCCAGCAGCUCCAGUGAGGAAGAGACCGAGAGAAGAGACCUGCAGCACAACACUCACACACACAGAUGAAGAGCAGCUGAUGAUGAAGAAGAGGAAGACUGCAGAAGAUCCCAGCAUCUCCUCAGGACUGGUUCCUUACGGAGGAGACUCCUCAGACGAGGAGGAGGAGCGCAUGCGCAGCGGGAAUAAGAGCUAAGCGUCUGAGCGCAGGACUGCAGCAUCACACACUUUUAUUUGAUCAAGUUUUAUUUUACACAGGACUGAUGUGAACUGUUCCUAUGGAAUAAAGAGAUAAACACACACCGCUGCUGCGUCUGGUUUAUUCAGCUCUAGAUCUGCUCGUGUGUCACGGUGUGAUGUAAGCUGGAGCAGUCAUUCCGGUGCGGAGCGUCAGCGCUCCGGGGUUAUCCAGAGCGAAACACGGCUGAACGUAGUGCAGGAAGUGACAGCUGAAGGUGUAGAGAUGCUGCCGCAGCGCUGCGUUGUAGAAGGACAGGAUCCCACGGGAAUAAUCCAGGAACACACCGAUCCGCAGCGGCUGCACCGUGAUGCGUAUGUCCGGCGUCCAGCCGCUGUGCAGGAACUCGUACUUGUGCCUGAGGAAGAGAGGAGCAGGUUCAGCUGGACACGUCUCCUCUUACACCAUGUCAUGAUGGUCACAUCGAUACGAGCAAACAUCGGAGCUUGAUUCUGGUUCAGGCAGAUCAUGAGCCAAUCACAGACUUUACCUUGUUGUGUUUCUGGAAGAGCGACUGCAUUGCACACCACAAAUAUUUAAACGUUUGAAGAGAGAUACAGUUUCAGUGCUUUAGCGGUUAGCUGUGUUUCUGCGUCUCGCACCUGGACGGUGUGAGGAUGUGUCUCAUGCACCAGGACGUGUUGUUCCCGCCCAGGUGUGAGUUACGCUGUGUGUCCUCAUACGCCACGCCCACACGAAACUCUGCGUCCUCGUCCACCUCGACCUCCCAGUAAUACUGUCCUCGGACGGGCACCAGGUCGCCCAGAACCGCCACACACCUGCGAGAGAGACGCGUCACACACCUGUCACAGGACUGGAGCGCACGCUGCUGCUCACCUGUUGAAGGUGUUGUCACUGAAGGUCAUGUGACUGAUGGGAAGAUCUUCAUCCAGGUAGAACAUGGUGAGGCCGUCGGCUGACAGAGACAGACUCGGGUGCGCCGUGUCUUCCAGCAGGUGGAAGAACGUACCUGUAAACAAACACAGACGUCACACACACACACACACACACACACACACACACACACACACCCUGACGGUCAGGAGGGUCAGGACCUGUGGUGGAGAUGUGGACGGGCUCGCUCCGGUCGCUCGGGCCGCCGAUGUUCACGGCUCUGACGUGGAGGAUGUAGAUCUUCUGCGGCUGCAGCUGCAGCAAACACUCGCAGGACGGGAUCGCCACGAUGGACCUGAGCCAGAUGGGAACGAUCAUUCUCACUGACCGAGGGGUGCCCGAAACCAGCUCAUAAAUACAGGUUUAGGAGUUUAGUUGUGUUCGCUGUUAUUCUGCUUUAGGGUUAGUGAAGGAAUCAGGACAGACUUCCUGACCACGUCUCUCUGAUGUUUGUACUAUUAUUUAAAUUAUUUUUUCUUACACUGUUAUUGUGCUACGAACUAUUUCUGAUAAACUGUGGUUGGUUCAUAUCUAAGUGGGUAACUUUAGGGUGAUAAACUUCAGUGUGAACCAGGGUUUAAUCAAAGAUCCGGGGACCCGUUCUUCUCCUGUGUCUCUAACUCUGUCAGAUGGAUUUGAUUGUUGAUGAUUUGGGAUGAUCUUGGAUUGUUUGGUUCUUCGAAGCUCAUCCUGGGGCCUGUACCAUGAUGGUAGCUGAACCAAUUCAGAGUUACAGGAUUAGUUUUGAGUUGACAAAACCAAACCUCUCCAAUCCGGCUCUGUUGGUACCAUGAUGCUGUUCAUCAACUUUCUUUGUCAAUUCAGGCUUUGAUCCCGAGUUUGUGGAGCGUGUGCACAUGAAUGUGUGACAUCACUGGCGAACAGCCAAUCACGAGCCUUGCAACACAAAGCAAGUUUGAUUUACUUCUCGCGAGAGACCCAGCGAGAUUCAAACUAAAGGUUAAAGGUUUUGCUAAAGGUUAAGAGAUUGAAGAAUAUGACAAAUUUAAAUG